GACGAACGCUGGCAGCGCGCCUAACACAUGCAAGUCGAACGGAGUGGCGGACGGGUGAGUAACACGUGAGCAACCUGCCUAUCAGAGGGGGAUAACGAUUGGAAACGAUCGCUAAUACCGCAUGCUGAUAGAUGGGCUCGCGUCCGAUUAGAUAGUUGGUGGGGUAACGGCCUACCAAGUCGACGAUCGGUAGCCGGACUGAGAGGUCGAACGGCCACAUUGGGACUGAGACACGGCCCAGACUCCUACGGGAGGCGGCAGUGGGGGAUAUUGCACAAUGGGGGAAACCCUGAUGCAGCGACGCCGCGUGAGGGAAGACGGUCCUUGGAUUGUAAACCUCUGUCUUCGGGGACGCGGUACCCGAGGAGGAAGCCACGGCUAACUACGUGCCAGCAGCCGCGGUAAUACGUAGGUGGCAAGCGUUGUCCGGAAUUACUGGGUGUAAAGGGAGCGUAGGCGGGCAGGCAAGUCAGGCGUGAAAUAUAUCGGCUCAACCGGUAACGGCGCUUGAAACUGCAGGUCUUGAGUGAAGUAGAGGUUGGCGGAAUUCCUAGUGUAGCGGUGAAAUGCGUAGAUAUUAGGAGGAACACCAGUGG
rnacentral:rRNA from 1 species